rnacentral:miRNA from 1 species
AAUGAUGUUAAUUUAACG